rnacentral:lncRNA from 1 species
ACACUUACUUGGAGGGGGUUUGGCGAAUUCGAGAGGGUAGUUAUUUGCUUUUGAGCGCUUCUAAUACACACGCACGAUAUAUAUUCUUUUAAUUUCCAAAGUUUUCUGCUUGAAUACAGCAGGAAUAGAAAAUAGGACGAAAGAAAAAGGAGGACUCGCCUGGCCGUUUCCUCAUUCUUGACUCCUGCGCAAUUCGCCAAUCGCCCUUUAGCCGUCGUCCGCGGAGCCCGACUACCUUGCGCGCGCGUUCCCGCUUUUCUGCGUGCCUGCGGCGCUGUGCUCCUGCAGCCAAUCAGAACGCGAGGUCGCCGCGGUCGCCUCGGUUCGCGCGCACGCCCCAGAGCGCAGUGGGGGUGGGGGCUACGGGUGAAUGGGAGAGUGAGCGGGGGCGGGCACGGCGGCGCGAGCCGCAUGAAUGAGAGGAACGUGCUCCGCGCGAGACGUCGCGCGCGCCCGGGCCAGGGAACCAAUGGGAAUGCCGGGAGGGCUAGAGAACCGGCACUGAGGGCAACGGCCGCGCGCCGGCUGGAAGACGAGCGUCGCCGGGCGGGAGCGCGCGGGAGCGGGGCGGGCGUGGAGCGUGCGGGGGCCGCGCGCUGCCUCUCAGAGGCCGGACGGCACUGCCGAGAGGCGGUGGUGACAACGACGGCGGCAGAGACGGGCACCGCGCCGGGGGUGUUGGAGUGGCAGGUCCUCCAGCAUACUAGGUGAGGCACCAUAACAAAGUUGAACUCUGCAUCUGGAAAGCCCAAGAUUGAAGAAGAAAGAUCAGAGACAUUGACUAACCUGGAAACGGGAACAUCUUUGGAACUUGGUUUUAUCUACAGUAAUCAUUUAAAGUAUCAACAAGUGGAAUUAAUUUCUUCAUUUCAUUCUGCUUAUUAGGAAAAACAUGACUUCAAGGAUUUUAAGUUUCCCUUUAGUUUUGCAUGAAUUCUGUAGGAAACGGAGCCCUUAAAGGGCUUGGGAAUAACAAGAAGAGAUUGAAGACUGACAAGCUUGCUCUCUAUUUUCCCUCCCACUUCAAAGAAAAGGAUUUACAACUCAACCUUAUAACAGCUGUUGUCCAGCUUUGGCCACCAAGAGAGAAAUAAAUAAAAUUAAACCACCA